rnacentral:rRNA from 1 species
AACGAACGCUGGCGGCAUGCCUAACACAUGCAAGCCGAACGAGACCUUCGGGUCUAGUGGCGCACGUGUGCGUAACGCGUGGGAACCUGCCCUUAGGUUCGGAAUAACUCCCCGAAAGGGGUGCUAAUACCGGAUAAUGUCUUCGGACCAAAGAUUUAUCGCCUUUGGAUGGGCCCGCGUUGGAUUAGCUAGUUGGUAGGGUAAAAGCCUACCAAGGCGACGAUCCAUAGCUGGUCUGAGAGGAUGAUCAGCCACACUGGGACUGAGACACGGCCCAGACUCCUACGGGAGGCAGCAGUGGGGAAUAUUGGACAAUGGGCGAAAGCCUGAUCCAGCAAUGCCGCGUGAGUGAUGAAGGCCUUAGGGUUGUAAAGCUCUUUUACCCGGGAUGAUAAUGACAGUACCGGGAGAAUAAGCUCCGGCUAACUCCGUG